rnacentral:siRNA from 1 species
UUAAGGUUUCAUGCGGCUUA